rnacentral:rRNA from 1 species
UACGUAGGGUGCGAGCGUUAAUCGGAAUUACUGGGCGUAAAGCGCACGUAGGCGGCUUUGUAAGUUAGAGGUGAAAGCCCGGGGCUCAACCCCGGAAUUGCCUUUAAGACUGCAUCGCUUGAAUUGUGGAGAGGUGAGUGGAAUUCCGAGUGUAGAGGUGAAAUUCGUAGAUAUUCGGAAGAACACCAGUGGCGAAGGCGACUCACUGGACACAUAUUGACGCUGAGGUGCGAAAGCGUGGGGAGCAAACAGG